AUUGAACGCUGGCGGCAGGCCUAACACAUGCAAGUCGAGCGGAAACGAGUUAUCUGAACCUUCGGGGAACGAUAACGGCGUCGAGCGGCGGACGGGUGAGUAAUGCCUGGGAAAUUGCCCUGAUGUGGGGGAUAACCAUUGGAAACGAUGGCUAAUACCGCAUAAUAGCUUCGGCUCAAAGAGGGGGACCUUCGGGCCUCUCGCGUCAGGAUAUGCCCAGGUGGGAUUAGCUAGUUGGUGAGGUAAGGGCUCACCAAGGCGACGAUCCCUAGCUGGUCUGAGAGGAUGAUCAGCCACACUGGAACUGAGACACGGUCCAGACUCCUACGGGAGGCAGCAGUGGGGAAUAUUGCACAAUGGGCGCAAGCCUGAUGCAGCCAUGCCGCGUGUAUGAAGAAGGCCUUCGGGUUGUAAAGUACUUUCAGCAGUGAGGAAGGUGGUGCACUUAAUACGUGCAUCAUUUGACGUUAGCUGCAGAAGAAGCACCGGCUAACUCCGUGC
rnacentral:rRNA from 1 species